rnacentral:lncRNA from 1 species
AUGCUGCCAAAUAUCUCCAGACAGCACACAGGGGCCCUGUACUGUACUGCUACCAAUACAAUAGGACAACGCAAAUCAAGCCCUGUGCGGCUCAAUGUGUUGUAUGCUCCUGAGGUGAAAACCAUGUCUACCUGCUCCUGGGAGACAGACACAGUGAAGUGUGUGUGCAUUGUGGAGUCCAAGCCGCCCAGCAGAGUCUAUUUUGUGCUUUCUGACAAAGUCCUGCCGAGCACCAAGGUAGAGACACACAACUCUCUUACCAUCGGGACUCUGCAGGCAGACCUGGGAUCUUAUGAGUCUGUCCUCUGCCUGGCUAACAACACACAGGGCAAUGCCAGCCUCUCGUUACCUGUCAAUAGUAAGAUGCAGAGUUACAUCAUCAUCGCGAUCGGAGUAGGGAUAGGAGUGACCAUAUUGAUACUUUUAAUAGCAGCGGGAGUUGUUAUAAAAUGUAGGGGGAGAUCUGGACAAGCACAAACAUCGCACAUGAGCACCAAGAUGGCAGACAAGAAUGUGGAGCUCCCUGAGUAUGCUGCAACAAAAAGAAAAGAGACGAGCUAUGAGGAUGUACAUUGCCCUGACAUGUAUCCCGAUGAUCCUGUAUAUGGCAACGUGGAGAAUGACAGGGAUGACGCAAUCUACGCCAAUGUGUAACAUCGCUGAGUUUAUUGGAGGAACAGCUGGUGUGAGCAAAGAAAGUUGUAAAAAGUGUUGAUAUGCUAUUUUCUCUAUGUAUAACAAAAGUAUUAUUUUUCUGUCUCCUGUAAUUUGCAUAUAAUGUCGACAAAUAACAUUAAUCAAUGAACUUGAGUUUGUAGAGGUUGUUUCUCUUGUCCAGCUCUUUUCCUGACGGUUUGUCUGAUCAAUGCAUGUUGUGCAACAUUUCCAUUGAAUAAUAAAUUAUAUUGGACUUUCAAAUAUGUUUAACAGCUCUUCAUUUUCACAGAGCAUUAGUCAGUCAAUAGCAACACAUGGUGCAAAAGUGUG